AUUGAACGCUGGCGGAAUGCUUUACACAUGCAAGUCGAGCGGCAGCGCGGCCUUCGGGCUGGCGGCGAGCGGCGAACGGGUGAGUAAUGCAUCGGAACAUGCCCAGUCGUGGGGGAUAACACUUCGAAAGAAGUGCUAAUACCGCAUACGUCCUGAGGGGGAAAGCGGGGGAUCGCAAGACCUCGCGCGAUUGGAGUGGCCGAUGUCAGAUUAGCUAGUUGGUGGGGUAAGGGCCUACCAAGGCGACGAUCUGUAGCUGGUCUGAGAGGAUGAUCAGCCACAAGGGACUGGGAACGCGCCCCAGACUCCUAGGGGGGGCAGCGGUGGGGAAUGUUGAACAAUGGGGGCACCCCGAAUCCGGCCUUCCGGGGGGAGAAAAGAGGGCCUUGGGUUGGAAAGGCUUUUCCGGCGGAAAGGAAAGGGGGGCCCCAAACAAAGUCGGAAAAGGAGGGUCCCUAAAAAAGAGACCCGGGCAAACAACGUC
rnacentral:rRNA from 1 species